GUGACAUCUCUCUUUUUCCACUGGUGCAAAAAUCAAAUUUCCAUGGCAAAGUUUCUUUAUCCUCCCCUUCUCAUCAAAUUCCUUUCUCUUUUACUUCUUUCAUCUACUUGCACUUCAGCUACUAAUUACUCCAUAAACUGUGGAUCAGGAUCCAUUGUUAGUCUUAAUGAUGGCCGGACUUUCGCUGGUGAUGAAAAUUCUGGUUACUUCUCUACAGGAAAUGGUGGUUCUAUCAGCAACGAUUCAGGAUUACCUGUAGACACUUCUCCUCUCUAUCAAACCGCAAGAAUUUUCAGGCAGCCAUCACCUUAUGAGCUCACAAUCACUGAUAAUGGCACAUACUUAGUACGACUUCAUUUCUAUGCUUUCAGCUCUAAAGGAACUAAUCUUUCUGAGGCUUUAUUCAGUGUUUCCACUUCAAAAUUCUUGCUCUUAUCUAAUUUUAGUGUGAAGAACACUAGCCAUUUACCAGUGAUCAAAGAGUUCUUGCUCACUAUAAAUGAAGAAAAGCUUAGAAUUUACUUCAUACCUGCUACAGAGACGUCUUUUGCUUUUCUUAAUGCCUUGGAAGUCCUUAUUCUUCCUCAGGACUUCAUCAAGGAUGAAUAUGCCGUUGCAGUCCCACCCAUAGGAACUGGAAAUGGUACUUUCCAUGGUUUGCUGUCCCAUGCUUUCCAGACACUCUAUAGGAUCGAUGUUGGACAGAAUACUAAUAUAUCAAAUGAUCCAUUCUGGAGGGACUGGGUGGGGGAUGAUCCUUACCUACUUCCAGGGUCUUCUGCUAGAAACUGUGCUUUUUAUUCUGGUAAGCUUAAUCAUGCUCCUGGAGCGACGGUGGUUCAAGAUAUGACCCCAGACCUUGUGUACAGGACUUGCAAAGAAGUGAGCAUAGAUAGUAGUGUGGCAUCAAAUUAUUCUUAUAUAACUUGGCGUUUCAAUGUGAGGAAGAAAACUAAUCAUCUCGUUCGCCUUCACUUCUGCGACACUAUCAGUAAGUCACCUGGUACUUUGAAGUUUGAUCUAUACAUUUACACAAAAUUCAGCCAGCUCGUUAAUUCUUCCGAAGUUAAUGGCGCUACUUUGGCAGCUCCAUUUUUUGCGGAUUAUGUCAUUGAAUCUGAUGAUUCUGGAUAUAUAAACUUCAGUAUAGUCCCUAACAAUGAUUCAGAAAUGAAAAAAGCCUUUCUAAAUGGAGUGGAGAUUAUGGAGUUUUUGACAAACACACGCAUGAAUUUGGGUCAUCCCGGACAUCCAAGCAAACAUCUUGUUCUUGUAAUUGGUUUGCCAGUUGGGUGUGUGGUUUUGAUUUCCCUUUUGAUAAUCUUGUUCCUGUUUGUUUUGAGACGUAAGAAAGCUAAGCCUGUUGUAGCUUUGGUUCUGAAGGAUGAUGUUCCUCCUGGGGGAGGGAGGCCUCACAGUUUGAUAACGGAAACAACUGUCAAUUCCUUCCCUGUUCCUAGUUUGAAUCUCAAGUUAAAGAUGUCUUUCUCUGAAAUACAGGCUGCUACUAGGGACUUCGACACCGAAUUGUUGAUUGGUGAGGGUGGGUUUGGUAAAGUUUACAAAGGAACUCUUCCCACUGGAAUGAAGGUGGCUGUUAAACGAAGCGAUUCAAGCCAUGGCCAGGGCCUUCCAGAAUUCCAGACUGAAGUUAUGGUCCUAUCCAAAAUUCGCCACCGUCACCUUGUUUCCUUGAUUGGGUACUGUUAUGAAGGAUCUGAGAUGAUACUGGUUUAUGAAUUCAUGGAAAAG
rnacentral:misc_RNA from 1 species